rnacentral:rRNA from 1 species
UACGAAGGGGGCUAGCGUUGUUCGGAAUGACUGGGCGUAAAGGGCGCGUAGGUGGUUUUUCAAGUUUUGUGUUAAAGACCUGGGCUUAACCUGGGGGGUGCAUGGAAGACUGAAAGACUUGAGGACGAGAGAGGAAAGUGGAAUUGCGCAUGGAGAGGUGAAAUUCGUAGAGAUGCGCAGGAACACCAGUGGCGAAGGCGACUUUCUGGUUCGUACCUGACACUGAGGCGCGAGAGCGUGGGGAGCAAACAGG